rnacentral:lncRNA from 1 species
AUAUUGCCAAAUCAAGGUUUGGAACUUCCCAAAGAUUCAAGGAGAAUUUUAAAAGCACCUUAUGAAAAGCGACUUAUAGACAGGAGCGUCAACUACAUCAAGUGUCAGUUGAUAUAUAUGUUUUGGUCAAAUACAUGUUUGUAUUUGCUCCUCCAAAAUUUGAAAGUCUGUGAUUCAAAAUUUCGCUUUUCCCAAAACAAAGUUAAAGAAAAUAUAUGAAGUCAAUGAUAAAUCUUAAAGUUUUAC